GAUUUUGUAAAUAUUUGUGCAUUUAUAAUAGAGAUGCAGGGAAUGUUUUUCUAAAACUAGCCAGUUACCCGAAAUAAUUUUUCAUUUGUUUACUUAUUCUCUCAUUCAUUUAUUCAGCAUCUUUUGAAGAUGCAUGAUGUUUCGAACAGUACUUGAUGUGUAUAAUACAUAGGUUAAUAAGAAUUUCUACCAUGGUAAAUGAUGUUAUCUCUCUGAAUAAGAAUGUUGACAGAAUAAACUUAAAUUUGAUUAUAUAGAAAAGGCUAAUAUGGAAUUAGAACUCGUACCAAAUUCUCUCCCAUUAUUUCUCCUUUACAUUGUUUCCUGGCUUAUUAGAAUCACAUGGGACGUUUCUACAACUGCAGAAUCUGGCGGAGUGGUGCCAGGGAAUCUACACUGAAAAAGAUUUUGGUUUUACUCAGUUGAUCUUGCAAGUUUGAGAACCACUGUUCUAAAUCAAGAAGAAUAAUCAAAUUUUCAUAGAGCCCUUACUGUUCUUAGUACUACAGAGUAAUAUCUCACAUUUGAUUAAUUCUUUAUACUUAAAAACUUUCCCAUUUGCUAUUUAAUUAUAAUCUUACAGGAACUUUGUUUAGGUAUAUGACAAAGGGUUCUCAAUUAUGAGAAGUAACUGAGACCCAGAGAAAUUCUAUAAGAUUCCAUAGCAGUUUAGAUGCUGUUCUUUUGAUCACCAGGUCCAUUCAUUGUUGUUCUUAGUAUACCAGAAUGCAUCUUAACUGUUGCUAUGAACUGGAAGACUGUGUUAACUGUUUCUCAUUCUCAUGUUUUUCUCUGCAGUUAGGUGUUUAUGUUCUGUUCUUUCACUGAAGCUGUCCUCAGGGCAGGGGGGAAUGAGAGCAUGAGAGCAUGACUACACAUCUGCAGUAUCUGAUGUGUAAUUCAAAGAGAACUCCCCACCACCAUGCCCCUGUCCAAAAGAGAUGAAAUUUAUUUGUAGUCUGUAUUUAAUUUUUAAAAUAUUCUAUCCUGUGGAAUAUCUAUAUGUGCUUUGAUGUAUAAAUACUGUCUUAAAUUAUUUACUGUUGAGUAGGAGAUGUCUAGGAAGUAAAAUUUGAAUUAUCCUGGGGCUUUUGACUUUGGCAUGUUGUUUGUAUGCAUUGUUUUUCAGUAGGAAUGAGAACUCAGAAGUAAACCUGACUAGUUUCCAAAUGCCAGUUUGGAAGAUAACGAAGAUUCUGGUUGGGAAUUGAAAAAUUCUAAUAGUUUAGAAACAAAUGAAUAUCAGUUUCACUAUUUCUCCACCUCCAUCCCAAACUUGAUCCUUCAGGUUUAAAGGCUAGGGUUAUUCAUGGGUCACAUAUGGUCAUUUCCCUACCCGUUGAGUUCAGGUAUAGACAAGGAUAACCCUGACUCUGUAUACAUGUUCGUUUUCUUAGAAAAGUGGAGUGUGGCCCCAUAAGUUAUAGUGACUAUAGCUGAAAUAAAGCUAAAUACAUGUUAAAAGUCCAA